GUGUCAUUUGAAAGUAGAGCAGGUAAGCAUUCCCCCUUGACAAGGAUGGAACACAUACCCUGAGAUCAGUGGGCACCACCACUGAUCGUAUUGA
rnacentral:ncRNA from 2 species